rnacentral:rRNA from 1 species
UUGACCUCAAAUCAGGUAGGACUACCCGCUGAACUUAAGCAUAUCAAUAAGCGGAGGAAAAGAAACUAACAAGGAUUCCCCUAGUAACUGCGAGUGAAGAGGGAAAAGCUCAAAUUUUGAAUCUGGCAGUCUUUUGGCUGUCCGAGUUGUAAUCUAGAGAAGUGUCUUCCGCGCUGGCCCGUGUACAAGUCUCCUGGAAGGGAGCGUCAUAGAGGGUGAGAAUCCCGUCUUUGACACGGACUACCAGUGCUAUGUGAUGCGCUCUCGACGAGUCGAGUUGUUUGGGAAUGCAGCUCAAAAUGGGUGGUAAAUUCCAUCUAAAGCUAAAUACAGGCGAGAGACCGAUAGCGAACAAGUACCGUGAGGGAAAGACGAAAAGAACUUUGAAAAGAGAGUUAAACAGUACGUGAAAUUGCUGAAAGGGAAACGCUUGAUGUCAGUCGCAUUGGCUAGGGAUCAACCUUGCUUAAUCGCUCGGUGUACUUCCUAGUUGAUGGGUCAGCAUCAGUUUCGAUCGUCAUACAAAGGCGAAGGGAAAGUGGCACUCUUUAGGGAGUGUGUUAUAGACCCUCGUCGGAUGUGUCGGUUGGGACUGAGGAACUCUGCACGGACUAGCUUUUGUGCAUGGAUGCUGCAUA